rnacentral:tRNA from 1 species
GGAGAGGUGGCCGAGUGGUCGAAGGCACACGCUUGCUAAGCGUGCGACGCCUAAUCCGCGUCCGAGGGUUCGAAUCCCUCCCUCUCCG